UGUCUACAAACUUAAACGCGAAAUCAAUGGUCAAUUCUAUUACUUUGCCAUUGAGGGUGCUACACCAAUGUUGUCCUUCUUCGAAUCGAUGCAGUCGCAUAUAUCGGCCACCUGGGAAAUGCAUGAAAUGAAGCGUGAGAUCUGGCUUAAGUUUUACAUGCAUUUAAAAGGUCUUUUGGAAACUUGGCCAGAGACACGCAACUUAGUGGAACCAAUCAUCUAUAAUUCACAUGAUGAUAAUGGUGAUCUUAUCGACGUUGGCGAAAUUAUCAUCGCCCACAUGGAGAACAAAAAAAAGAUGCUUUAAAAAGUGCAGCUAUCGUUUCGACUGCCAACAAAAGGUCCGAUUGACAUAAAGCAACGAAAAUCUCUUAA